GGCGCCGGCGCUUCAACAUCAACGACCGGAUCAAGGAGCUGGGGACCCUGAUCCCCAAAAACAGCGACCCGUGAGCGGGGCCGGGUCCUGCAAGGGGAAACGGGACCCCCGGGUGGGGCCUGGGGGGAUUUGGGCAUUCAGGGACCCCCAUGGCAGGUCCUGGAAGGGAUAAGGGCAUACAAGGAGCCCCAUGGCAGGUCCUGGAAGGGAAAUUUGACAUUCAGGGGACCCCCAGGGUGGGGCCUGGAGGAGCUCAGGUGUCUGGGGGACCCUCAUGGCAGGUCCUGGAAGGGAAAUUUGGCAUUUAGGGACCCCCAGGGUGGGGGUCUGGGAGAGAAUUCCCCCAUGGCAGGUCCUGGAAGGGGAAAUUUGGCAGCCAAAGAUCCCCAAAGUAGGUCCUGGAAGGGAUAAGGGCAUACAAGGAGCCCCAUGGCAGGUCCUGGAAGGGAAAUUUGGCUUUUAGGGACCCCCGGGGUGGGGGCCUGGGAGGGGGAAUUUGGCAGCCAAAGAUCCCCAUGGCAGGUCCUGGAAGGGAUAAGGCCAUACAAGGAACCCCAUGGCAGGUCUUGGAAGGGAUAUUUGGCAGCCAAGGGCGCGCAGAGCAGGUCCUGGAAGGGAAAUUUUAGAUUUAGGGACCCUCGUGGCAGGUCCUGGAAGGGGAAUUUGGCAGCCAGGGACCCCUGGGGUAGGGCUUGGAAGGGGAAUUCCCCCCGUGGCAGGUCCUGGAAGGGAAAUUUGACAUUCAGGGACCCCAGAGUGGGGCCUGGAGGAGCUCAGGUGUCUGGGGACCCCCAUGGCAGGUCCUGGAAGGGAAAUUUGACAUUUAGGAGACCCAAGGUGGGUCCUGGAAGGGAAAUUUGGCAGCCGGGGACCCCCGGGGGUGGGAAUUUGAAAUUUUGGGAUAUUUUGGGGGGUGGUCCCAGGGGUAUUUUGGGGGUGGUCCCGGGGUGAUCCUGGGGAUAUUUUGGGGGUGGUCCCAGGGGUAUUUUGGGGUGGUCCUGGGGGGUUAUUGGGGGUGAUCCUGAGGAUUUUCGGGGAGUGAUCCCUGGGAUUUUGGAGGUGGUCCCGGGGGUAUUUUGGGGAUGACCCAGGCUGAUCUUGGGGGUCCCAGGGGUAUUCGGGGGUGGUCCCGGGGGUAUUUGGGGGGUGGUCCUGGAGGUGUUUGGGGAUGGGUCCUGGGGGUAUUUUGAGGGUGGUCCCGAGGGUAUUUUGGGGAGUGAUUCGGGGGUAUCUGGGGGUGGUCCGGGCUAACCCCGGGGGUCCCAGGGGUUUUUGGGGGUGGCCCCUGGGAUAUUUGGGGUGGUCCCGGGGUUAUUUUGGGGCUGAUCCCGGUGGUAUUUUUGGGUGGUCCCAGGGUUAUUUUGGGGGGUGGUCCCGGGGUUUUUUGGGGGUGGUCCCGGGGUUAUUUGGGGGUGCUCCCGGGGGUCUGUGGGUGCGGGGCUGACGCGGCUCCCGGCAGGGAGAUGCGCUGGAACAAGGGCACGAUCCUGAAGGCGUCCGUGGAUUACAUCCGCAAGCUGCAGAAGGAGACGCAGCGAAGCGCGGGAGCUGGAGCUGCAGCAGCAGCGCCUGGAGCAGCAGAACCGCAGCCUGGCGCUGCGCGUGCAGGAACUGGAGCUCCAAGCCCAAAUCCACGGGCUCCCCCUGACCCCCGCCAUGGCCGAGGGGGGCUGCGAGGAGCCCUCGGGGGGGGGUCCCCCCUUCCCUGCCGGGGGUCCCCCCACCCCCCCAGUGCCUGCUGGAGCUGCCGCCGGGGCUGGCGCUGCCCCUGGCGCUGGGGGGGGCCCGAGGGGACCCUCGAGGACAUCCUGAUGGACGAUGGGGGGGGGCUGUCCCCGCUCGGGCCCCCCCGGCGCCCUCCUGGCCUCGCCGGGCCCCUCGCGGGCCUCCAGCCCCCGCAGCAGCCUCAGCAUGGAGGACGAGCCCUGAGGCCGCCCCGGCAGGAGCCUGGCCCUGGGGGGGAUUUUUAGGGACCCCCUCCCCGUUUCUCGGGACCCCCGCCCUCCCGGAGCUGCUCUGGGUGGGCCCCACUGGGCGCCGUUUGAAGAGUCUUAAAGCGGGGUGCGCGCUUUGUGAUGAGGGCCCCGCCCCUUUUAGAGGUGUUGCCCUUUUAAGGCGCCCGGUGUGGGGCCCCUCUCUUAAAGGGGCCCGGCCGGGCGUGGCUCGUAGGAAGGGGGGGGGUGAGCCCCCCUCGGUGUGUGGCCCCUUUAAGGCGCUGGCGUCGGGCCCCACCCUGGGCGUGGCCCUUUGAAAGUGUCUGGAAAAGCCCCGCCCCUCCGCGAGGCCACGCCCAUUCCCUUGCUCACCCAAUCAGGAGGCUCCUGGGGCUGGGCCUCAGGUGAAGCCCCGCCCCCUCUCGCUGUCACUCACAUUUACCCCUCCCGCUAACAGACCACGCCACUUUUAGAGACCACGCCCACCGCCCCACUUAAAGGGGCCACACCCGCAUUUCCAAGCCCCGCCCCCGAUUUUGUACUG